ACAAACACAUGUAAGUUGUCCACAAAGAAGAAAUACAUCAAUCCCUUUGGUUUCUAAUGGUCUAAUGUCAGAAAACCACUAAAGGAGUCCUGGUUGGCCGGAUUACUGAUGUGCUGGCAGGACUGCUGGUGCUACGAUGGUCCAAACUUGUUCCACAUUCUGGUUUGCACCAAGGAGCUCCAAGUUGUGGCCAUGGUUGUGUGACCCAGACUGAGACCCUGAUCAAUUUCCAAGUCUUAGAUUCUGGAAAGAAGCCUGCAGCCACAACCCGAUCACAUCUGGUCAGACCUGGAGCUUCCAGACCACAGCUGAGGUCUAAAUCCAACCUGAUCCCAGGCACAAGCUUAUUUUUAGCUCGAUGCAGUUCAGUGCCAACUGCAGCUCGCUGAAGGCAACAUCAAGGUCGUCGUUGACUAUAACCAUCUCAAAGAGAUGGCUGUACUGAGUCUCCAUUGUCUGGGCCGUGUUCACCAUCUCCUGAAAGUCUUCCUCCUGGGAAAAGAGGGAAGAGACAAAAUAGAUGGAAGUUAAAAACACAAAACAGAUAAAAG
ensembl:lncRNA